rnacentral:rRNA from 1 species
AACGAACGCUGGCGGCAUGCCUAACACAUGCAAGUCGAACGAGACCUUCGGGUCUAGUGGCUCACGGGUGCGUAACGCGUGGGAACCUGCCCUUAGGUUCGGAAUAACUCCCCGAAAGGGGUGCUAAUACCGGAUAAUGUCUUCGGACCAAAGAUUUAUCGCCUUUGGAUGGGCCCGCGUUGGAUUAGCUUGUUGGUAGUGUAAAAGCCUACCAAGGCGACGAUCCAUAGCUGGUCUGAGAGGAUGAUCAGCGACACUGGGACUGAGACACGGCCCAGACUACUACGGGAGGCAGCAGUGGGGAAUAUUGGACAAUGGGCGAAAGCCUGAUCCAGCAAUGCCGCGUGAGUGAUGAAGGCCUUAGGGUUGUAAAGCUCUUUUACCCGGGAUGAUAAUGACAGUACCGGGAGAAUAAGCUCCGGCUAACUCCGUG